ensembl:lncRNA
GUGGUGAGAAUUAGAUCAAAGACUCAGUGCGUGCAGACCCCACCCCCAGCCUGGCUUCCUUGCUUGCUCAAUAGUGGUUGGCAUUAUAAAACUCCUUUUCUGGGCCAGCCCAGAGGCGCAGCGAUUAAGUGCGCACGUUCUGCUUCGGCGGCCUGGGGUUCGCCGGUUCGGAUCCCAGGUGCGAACAUGGCACUGUUGGCAAGCCAAGCUGUGGCAGGUGUCCCACAUAUAAAGUAGAGGAAGGUGAGCGCGGAUGGUAGCUCUGGGCCAGUCUUCCUCAGCAAAAAGAGGAGGAUUGGCAGCAGUUAGCUUAGGGCUAAUCUUCCUCAAAAAAAAAAACAACUCCUUUUCUUUAGAACACUCAUCCUCACCUAGAGAACCUUGCAGAAACUACGUUCAAAACAGAGCACUGUUGGGGCUGGCCCCGUGGCCGAGUGGUUAAGUUCGCGCACUCCGCAGCAGGCGGCCCAGUGUUUCGUUAGUUCGAAUCCUGGGCGCGGACAUGGCACUGCUCAUCAGACCACGCUGAGGCAGCGUCCCACAUGCCACAAAUAAAAGAAUACACAACUAUGUACCAGGGGGCUUUGGGGAGAAAAAGGAAAAAAUAAAAAAUCUUUAAAAAAAAAACAAAAAACAGAGCACUGUUGGGGCUGGCCCCGUGCCUGAGUCGUUAAGUUCGCACACUCCACUUCGGUGGCCCAGGGCUUCGCUGGUUCGGAUCCUGGGCACAGACCUAGCACCACUCAUCAGGCCAUGCUGAGGCAGUGUCCCACACAGUACAACCAGAGGUGCUCACAGCUAGAAUAUACAACUAUGUACGGGGGGCUUUGGGGAGAAGAAUUAAAAAAAAAGAAGAUUGGCAACAGUUGUUAGCUCAGGUGCCAAUCUUUAAAAAAAAUGUAUCUACAACUAGAAGGACUCACAACUAAAAACACAGAGCUGUGUACCAGGGGGGUUUGGGGAGAAAAAGGAAAAAUAAAAUCUUUUUUAAAAAAUGUAUAAAAAAAACCCAGAGCACUGUUUAACUUUCUUCCCCCAAUGCUCUAACUUCCUCACCAGAGAAUGAUCAUUUCCAGGCUCGGAGAUAGUGUUCGAUGACUGAAGUGCCAGCAGGGAAAUGGCCUGGGGUCCCAGAUUGGUGGGAUUGAUGAAUAAACUGUCCGUCUCUUAAAAAAUAUACAAUAGCUGAAUUACAAUUUCAAAAAAUAUAAUAAUUUUGCUGAGAUAGGGCAAAGGCAGAGUCAGAAUUGCUCUUCUAAGUGUCUCCACCCUCUCUUUGCGUCCCCACUUCCGUUUAGCUGCUUUGGGGCUGAACACUUUGCUAGAGGAUUUCUUCCAGCGCUACCACAAUCCUAAAAGGCUGAGGUUUUUAAUCCUCAUUACACAGCAGCCUGAAGUUCCAUCCAAGAAAACAAAAUGAGAUGAAAUCAGCAAGGAUGUGUAACUACACGCUCGGCUAAAUGCUGGAGACGACACCCAUGCCAGAGCCCAGCUCAUCUCAUCCGAGGCUGCCUGCCGGGGGUGGAAGCAGCCCCUUCUUCACACAAAUGAGACCAACAGUGCUGGGAGCGGGUGCAGAGAGAAGGGACAAGAGCAAGUUGUGUAAUUCUGGAAACGCCACUUCAUCUGGAACAAUGCCACAUUCCACGACAUCGGAGACGACGUCUGUCUGUCUGCCGCAGCGUGGCCAGCUCUCGGAAUGUGGCUGGUACACCGUAGGGGCUCAGUAAAUACUUGUCGGGUGGAAUACAUAGCGUCGCAGGAGGCGUUCCGAGGACAACCCUCACCUCAGAGGCCUCACCCUUUAUAACUCAAAGCACUUUGAAAUGACUCCAACUCCAGAAUAUUUUAGAAAGUGUUUGUGAGGAUGAAUUGCUGACCACAGUGAAGAGAACAUUAGCUGGAAGUGUGACGCCUGAGCUGAUGGCUGUGACAGUGCCCAGAGAAAGCGAUCUGUGAGGCGAGACAGAACCGGCUGUGAAGACAGGACCUGGGCUGCAGGGAAAAUAGGGGGCCCCACAGUGCCUGAGCUGGAUCCAACCCGACAGAGGGACUGACCGCCGGCCCCAGUCGCCGUGCUCCUGGAGUCGCCUUCUGUCUUCCGUCCACCCUGCGGUGUGGAGCCCCUCCCCACACUGUCCCCUGUGGGUUCUGGCUCUGGGGGGCGAGUGCCCCUGGCAGAGAGCUGCUGCCCCCCAGGCUGUGCACGGAGGGCCCUUUGGCCACCCCGAGGAAACCGGCAGCGCCUCCUCCCUUUUCCUGCCUGUCUCCUUUAUGCCCUUUAGCUCAGAAGGCACGGGAAGGGGAAGGAAAGGGCGAUGCAAGAGACCGGGAGGACCUGGAAGGCUCUGCCUCUGUUUUCAGUAAUUCUUAGCUGGCCUUGGGGAAAUCUGUCUGCAGCAAAGUCCAACCCAACACAGAUAAAGGACCUUUCUGCUGAUGUGUUGGACAAGACCUUUAACCCAGGGUUUUGUGAAGCAGUUGGACUGCCCUGCACAAACUCACAGGAGACGGUUCUUGUCUUGCUCGUCCCCUUUCAGGUGCCCCACGUGCUCCCACAUGCCCACACCCGGCAAACACCAGCUCUCACGUUGCCUGGUCCUAAAGAGUUUGUGUCAUAGAGCGGCAUGCCCUAAAGAGUUUGACCCGAAGGCUGACCUGCCCUGGGAGUUCAGGAAGACUCCAUUCUGGGGACACAGCUGACGAAGUCAUGCUGGCGGGGUAGCCACUUCAGUCUUGGGUCCUCUCCACUGCACCCUACUCCUAGUUGCUGCCUUGGGACCCUCAGGCUGGGAGUUCUGGCCCUCAGCCCUCACCCUCCGAGGGACCCCCACCCCACUGUGGCUUCUGGGCCCUUCCUCAGACUCAGAAGGGCUCCAGGGACAGAGGGGCUGAAGCAUAUUAUAGUUUUGCUACAAAUAAUAAUAACAACAAUAAAU